CCAUGCUUCACCGUAGGGAUGGUGCCAGGUUUCCUCCAGACGUGAGGCUUGGCAUUCAGGCCAAAAGAGUUCAAUCUUGGUUUAAUCAGACCAGAGAAUCUUGUUUCUCAUGGUCUGAGAGUCCUUUAGGUGCCUUUUGGCAAACUCCAAGCGGGCUGUCAUGUGCCUUUUACUGAGGAGUGGCUUCUGUCUGGCCACUCUACCAUAAAGGCCUGAUUGGUGGAGUGCUGCUGAGAUGGUUGUCCUUCUGGAAGGGUCUCCCAAACUCUGGAGUUCUGUCAGAGUGACCAUCAGGUUCUUGGUCACCUCCCUGACCAAGGCCCUUCUCCCCUGAUUGGUCAGUUUGGCCGGGUGGCCAGUCAGCUCUAGGAAGAGUCUUGGUGGUUCCAGACUUCUUCCAUUAUAGAACGCUGGAGGGCACGGUGUUCUUGGGGACCUUCAAUGCUGCAGAAAUGUUUUGGUACCCUUCCCCAGAUCUGUACCUCGACACAAUCCUGUCUCGGAGCUCUACGGACAAUUCCUUCAACCUUAUGGCUUGGUUUUUGCUCUGACAUGCACUGUCAACUGUGGGACCUUAUAUAGACAGAAAGAAAGAUGCAUCGUAAUAGGAAUGGAACGAGUGAAGGAAAGACAGAGUGGAAGAAACAUUGAAAGGCAAACGAGGGCUUCAUUGUCAUGGGAAUCAUAUGUUUACGUUGUCAAAGCGAGUGAAAUAGAUCAUAAACAAAACGUAAAAAAACAUACGGUAAACAUUAUACUCACAAAAGUUCAAAUUCUUUGUGGCUCUGUGUAGUCUGAGGGAAAUAUGUGUCUCUAAUAUGCUCAUACAUUUAGCAGGAGGUUAGGAAGUGCACCUCAGUUUCCACCUCAUUUUGUGUGCAGUGAGCACAUAGCCUGUCUUCUCUUGAGAGUCAGGUUCUCUCUCUCUCUCUCUGUCAAUCUUUUCCCUCUCGCAAUAUUCCUUUCCGCCUCCCUCUAUUUUAAAAAAAAACAUUUUUGUCAUUUAGCACAGGGGUUUCCCC
rnacentral:lncRNA from 1 species